UACGUAGGGGGCAAGCGUUGUCCGGAAUCAUUGGGCGUAAAGAGCGUGUAGGCGGCUCGAUAAGUCUGCUGUGAAAGUCCAGGGCUCAACCCUGGAAGGCCGGUGAAGACUGUCGGGCUAGAGUCCGGAAGAGGCGAGUGGAAUUCCCGGUGUAGCGGUGAAAUGCGCAGAUAUCGGGAGGAACACCAAUGGCGAAGGCAGCUCGCUGGGACGGUACUGACGCUGAGGCGCGAAGGCUAGGGGAGCGAACGGGG
rnacentral:rRNA from 1 species